UACGGAGGGUGCAAGCGUUAUCCGGAUUUACUGGGUUUAAAGGGUGUGUAGGCGGGCUAUUAAGUCAGUGGUGAAAUCUCCGGGCUCAACCUGGAAACUGCCAUUGAUACUAUUAGUCUUGAAUUCUGUUAGGUGGGCGGAAUAAGUCAUGUAGCGGUGAAAUGCAUAGAUAUGACUUAGAACACCAAUUGCGAAGGCAGCUCGCUAAACAGACAUUGACGCUGAGGCACGAAAGCGUGGGGAUCAAACAGG
rnacentral:rRNA from 1 species